rnacentral:rRNA from 1 species
UACGUAGGCAGCGAGCGUUGUUCGGAGUUACUGGGCGUAAAGCGUGCGUAGGCGGUGCUCCAAGUCUGUUGUGAAAUCUCCCGGCUUAACUGGGAGGGUGCGGGCGGAAAACUGGGGUGCUGGAGUGCGGGAGAGGUAAGCGGAAUUCCCGGUGUAGCGGUGAAAUGCGUAGAUAUCGGGGAGGAACACCUGCGGUGUAGACGGCUUACUGGACCGUAACUGACGCUGAGGCACGAAAGCGUGGGGAGCAAACAGG